GGUUGUGUAGUGUAGUGGUUAUCACUUUGGAUUUUGAUUUGAGUCCUAGUUCUCUUAGAAACUUUCCAAUAACCCCGGUUCGAACCCGGGCACGACCU